rnacentral:rRNA from 1 species
UGGGGAAUAUUGGACAAUGGGCGAAAGCCUGAUCCAGCCAUGCCGCGUGUGUGAAGAAGGUCUUCGGAUUGUAAAGCACUUUAAGUUGGGAGGAAGGGCAGUAAGCGAAUACCUUGCUGUUUUGACGUUACCGACAGAAUAAGCACCGGCUAACUCUGUGCCAGCAGCCGCGGUAAUACAGAGGGUGCAAGCGUUAAUCGGAAUUACUGGGCGUAAAGCGCGCGUAGGUGGUUCGUUAAGUUGAAUGUGAAAGCCCCGGGCUCAACCUGGGAACUGCAUUCAAAACUGGCGAGCUAGAGUAGGGCAGAGGGUGGUGGAAUUUCCUGUGUAGCGGUGAAAUGCGUAGAUAUAGGAAGGAACACCAGUGGCGAAGGCGACCACCUGGGCUCAUACUGACACUGAGGUGCGAAAGCGUGGGGAGCAAACAGG